ensembl:lncRNA
CUUCCCUGCUCUUCAGUUCUGUCUUUUGCUUAACAUGAAAACACACAUCUACUUGCGCCAAUGCUUCUAUUGUGACUUCAUGGUGAAAGAAGACUUCAUACAGAUUACUUAUGAAUUGUAAUCAGUUACUGAUUACAGAUUACAUGACAAAAUUUGUAGUCAGUAAUAUAAUCUCUUAGAUUACACAUUUUUGGUAACGUAAUCUGAUUACUUUUGGAUUACAUUUAGAUUACAUUUGUGCUAACCCUUAUUUGAUAUCACAUAUAAUGAAUUAGCCUAAUCGUGUGCUAUUUUGACAGAUAAAAAAAUAUACAUACAUUCCAAAAAAUAUAUUUAAUGCACCAACAAGAGCCACAAUGGCUUAAAUAAAUAAAAAAAAAAACACUACAAGUGUAUAUGACUGUAUCAAUGAAAAACAUCAAACAAUAGCUACAUUGCAAACAUGAAUUCUGAAAAAGACUAAAUUCACACAGAAAUGACAUUUCUAUCCAUCUCAAAACAUUUUAAGUGCAUAGUAACAAUGAGGAACAGACACAAAACGAUGUAGUACACAUGCCAGACCAGCAUGUGGCGCUGUAAUUCUGCCAUAGAGACACACUACAUUUAUUAAUUUGUGUUAAUGCUAGUUAAUAAAAAGACAAUUGUUCAGUGUUUGUUCAUGUUUUUGUUUCUGUUAUGUGACGUAGCGAUGUCUAGGGGCGAGACGUGGGCUGAUGACGUCAUCGUUUCAGAAAAUAUCGGUUUCACUCGAGCGGCAACCUCGCGCUCUCUCUCGUGAAGCCAAUAAGGAAGUGACUAAAACUGUAAUUCAUCGACUGGCCGCUUGAGGCUGGCUGCAAAAGGGAGUCAGUCCCAUAGACUCCCCAUGUUCAAAUGGCCAACUUUACAGCAGAAAAAAACAUGUUUACAGCCUGGUAUUUUCAUUUGCUAUUGAGGAGUCUAUGGGUGACGUCACGGACACUACGUCCAUAUUUUUUUACAGUCUAUGGUUUCACUCUCCCAAAACGCCGGAUCUGUGUGGACGGGGCCUCGAAGUGCAUAAGUGCAGAGGCCAUGUAACAGCAUAUUGGUCACAAGCUACGAGAAACUCAAUAAUUUUUUGCAGAGAAAGCGAAAGAAAUCUCUUAGCAGCCAUGGUCAGUGUGCUUAUCUUUGCAUGUAAGUACUGAAAUUACAAAAUCUAUCAUUAAUGAUCAAUAAAUGAAAUCUACACAAAUGCUGGUAGUGUUGG